ACCUGAAGAUCUUGGCAACGCAAC
rnacentral:sRNA from 1 species